rnacentral:rRNA from 1 species
AGUGAACGCUGGCGGUAGGCCUAACACAUGCAAGUCGAACGGCAGCACAGUAAGAGCUUGCUCUUACGGGUGGCGAGUGGCGGACGGGUGAGGAAUACAUCGGAAUCUACUUUUUCGUGGGGGAUAACGUAGGGAAACUUACGCUAAUACCGCAUACGACCUACGGGUGAAAGCAGGGGAUCUUCGGACCUUGCGCGAUUGAAUGAGCCGAUGUCGGAUUAGCUAGUUGGCGGGGUAAAGGCCCACCAAGGCGACGAUCCGUAGCUGGUCUGAGAGGAUGAUCAGCCACACUGGAACUGAGACACGGUACAGACUCCUGCGGGAGGCAGCAGUGGGGAAUAUUGGACAAUGGGCGCAAGCCUGAUCCAGCCAUACCGCGUGGGUGAAGAAGGCCUUCGGGUUGUAAAGCCCUUUUGUUGGGAAAGAAAAGCAGCAGGUUAAUACCCCGCUGUUCUGACGGUACCCAAAGAAUAAGCACCGGCUAACUUCGUG